rnacentral:rRNA from 1 species
UACGUAGGGGGCAAGCGUUGUCCGGAAUCAUUGGGCGUAAAGAGCGCGUAGGCGGUCCGGUAAGUCAGCUGUGAAAGUCAGGGGCUCAACCCUUGAAAGCCGGUUGAUACUGUCGGGCUAGAGUCCGGAAGAGGCGAGUGGAAUUCCCGGUGUAGCGGUGAAAUGCGCAGAUAUCAGGAAGAACACCCGUGGCGAAGGCGGCUCUCUGGGACGGUACUGACGCUGAGACGCGAAAGCGUGGGGAGCGAACAGG